GAUGAACGCUAGCUACAGGCUUAACACAUGCAAGUCGAGGGGCAGCGGUAUCGAAAGCUUGCUUUCGGUAGCCGGCGACCGGCGCACGGGUGAGUAACGCGUAUCGAACCUGCCUCAUACUCGGGAAUAGCCUUGCGAAAGUAAGAUUAAUGCCCGGUGUUUUAAGAGUCCCGCAUGAGGCUUUGAACAAAGAUUUAUCGGUAUGAGAUGGCGAUGCGUCCCAUUAGCUUGUUGGCGGGGUAACGGCCCACCAAGGCAUCGAUGGGUAGGGGUUCUGAGAGGAAGGUCCCCCACAUUGGAACUGAGACACGGUCCAAACUCCUACGGGAGGCAGCAGUGAGGAAUAUUGGUCAAUGGGCGGAAGCCUGAACCAGCCAAGUAGCGUGCAGGAAGACGGCCCUCCGGGUUGUAAACUGCUUUUAGUUGGGAAUAAAACGGGGCUCGUGAGCCCCCUUGCAUGUACCAUCAGAAAAAGGACCGGCUAAUUCCGUG
rnacentral:rRNA from 1 species